rnacentral:rRNA from 1 species
CGAACGCUGGCGGCGUGCUUAACACAUGCAAGUCGAGCGGUAAGGCCCUUCGGGGUACACGAGCGGCGAACGGGUGAGUAACACGUGGGUGAUCUGCCUUGCACUCUGGGAUAAGCCUGGGAAACUGGGUCUAAUACCGGAUAUGACCGAUGGUUGCAUGAUCAGGGGUGGAAAGAUUUAUCGGUGCAAGAUGAGCCCGCGGCCUAUCAGCUUGUUGGUGGGGUAAUGGCGAACCAAGGCGACGACGGGUAGCCGGCCUGAGAGGGCGACCGGCCACACUGGGACUGAGACACGGCCCAGACUCCUACGGGAGGCAGCAGUGGGGAAUAUUGCACAAUGGGCGGAAGCCUGAUGCAGCGACGCCGCGUGAGGGAUGACGGCCUUCGGGUUGUAAACCUCACUCGACUCCGACGAAGCGAAAGUGACGGUAGGAGUAUAAGAAGCACCGGCCAACUACGUGCCAGCAGCCGCGGUAAUACGUAGGGUGCGAGCGUUGUCCGGAAUUACUGGGCGUAAAGAGCUUGUAGGCGGCUUGUCGCGUCGAUCGUGAAAACUCGGGGCUCAACCACGAGCUUGCGGUCGAUACGGGCAGGCUUGAGUACUUCAGUCGAGACUGGAAGUCCUGGUGUAGCGGUGAAAUGCGCAGAUAUCAGGAGGAACACCGGUGGCGAAGGCGGGUCUCUGGGAAGUAACUGACGCUGAGAAGCGAAAGCGUGGGUAGCGAACAGGAUUAGAUACCCUGGUAGUCCACGCCGUAAACGGUGGGUACUAGGUGUGGGUAGCCGUCCACGGGAUCCGUGCCGUAGCUAACGCAUUAAGUACCCCGCCUGGGGAGUACGGCCGCAAGGCUAAAACUCAGAGGAAUUGACGGCGGCCCGCACAAGCGGCGGAGCAUGUGGAUUAAUUCGAUGCAACGCGACGCACCUUACCUGGGGCUGACAUACACCGGAUACCUGCAGAGAUGUAGGCCACCUUGUGGUCGCUGUACCGGUGGUGCAUCGCUGUCGUCAGCUCGUGUCGUGAGAUGUUGGGUUAAGUC